CAGCAGCCGCGGUAAUACGUAGGGUGCGAGCGUUAAUCGGAAUACUGGGCGUAAAGCGUGCGCAGGCGGUUAUAUAAGACAGAUGUGAAAUCCCCGGGCUCAACCUGGGACCUGCAUUUGUGACUGUAUAGCUAGAGUACGGUAGAGGGGGACGGAAUUCCGCGUGUAGCAGUGAAAUGCGUAGAUAUGCGGAGGAACACCGAUGGCGGAGGCAAUCCCCUGGACCUGUACUGACGCUCAUGCACGAAAGCGUGGGGAGCAAACAGGAUUAGAUACCCGUGUAGUCCCUGUCUCUUAUACA
rnacentral:rRNA from 1 species